rnacentral:misc_RNA from 1 species
CUCCGCAAGAAGCACACACAGCGGAUCCCAGCCUUCGGGUUCUGGAAGCGUGAAUCUAUCGAUUUGUUGGACUUCCCUCGUUUCUUUUCCCCUCCUGCAAUUAACCAAGCGAUUCCUUUCCUCCCCUUUCCCUUUCGUUGCCCUUCUCUCAACCGUCACCAUGAAGCGCGCCGUCGAUGACAUUAGCGGCGCCACCACCGCCACUGCUAAGAAACCUGUCUUCUUGACCAAAGCCCAACGCGAGCAGUUGGCUCUCGAGCGACGCCAAGAAGAAAUCCGGCAGCAGAAACUACAGCAGCAACAGCUUCUCUCUCAAAUCCGCCCUUCCUCGGACCCUAACAGCAACAGCAACCAAAAGCCCUCUGAUUCUGACCGACGUGACCGCGAG